rnacentral:rRNA from 1 species
UACGGGGGGGGCAAGCGUUGUUCGGAAUUACUGGGCGUAAAGGGCUCGUAGGUGGCCAACUAAGUCAGACGUGAAAUCCCUCGGCUUAACCCGGGAACUGCAUCCGAUACUGGCAGGCUUGAAUCCGGGAGAGGGAUGCGGAAUUCCAGGUGUAGCGGUGAAAUGCGUAGAUAUCUGGAGGAACACCGGUGGCGAAGGCGGCAUCCUGGACCGGUAUUGACGCUGAGGCGCGAAAGCCAGGGGAGCAAACGGG